UACGUAGGUCCCGAGCGUUGUCCGGAUUCAUUGGGCGUAAAGCGAGCGCAGGUGGUUUAUUAAGUCUGGUGUAAAAGGCAGUGGCUCAACCAUUGUAUGCAUUGGAAGCUGGUAGACUUGAGUGCAGGAGAGGAGAGUGGAAUUCCAUGUGUAGCGGUGAAAUGCGUAGAUAUAUGGAGGAACACCGGUGGCGAAAGCGGCUCUCUGGCCUGUAACUGACACUGAGGCUCGAAAGCGUGGGGAGCAAACAGG
rnacentral:rRNA from 1 species